rnacentral:rRNA from 1 species
UACGUAGGGGGCAAGCGUUGUCCGGAUUUAUUGGGCGUAAAGAGCGUGUAGGCGGCCAAGUAAGUCUGCUGUGAAAAUUCGAGGCUUAACCUCGAGCUGUCGGCGGAAACUAUUUGGCUAGAGUCCGGAAGAGGAGAAUGGAAUUCCCGGUGUAGCGGUGAAAUGCGCAGAUAUCGGGAAGAACACCCGUGGCGAAGGCGGUUCUCUGGGACGGUACUGACGCUGAGACGCGAAAGCGUGGGGAGCGAACAGG